rnacentral:tRNA from 1 species
UAGAUUGAAGCCAGUUGGAUUAAGGCGAUUAGCUGUUAACUAAGAGUUUAUAGGUUUAAGUCCUGUCAAUCUAG